rnacentral:rRNA from 1 species
CUCGGUUUUUACAGCGCUGUCGACCCACCUCUUCCCAUUCCGAACAGAGAAGUGAAAGGCAGCAGCGUUGACGAUAGCUGUUGGGCAACUGACCGUGAAAAUAGACCAAGGCCGGGC